rnacentral:rRNA from 1 species
GAUGAACGCUGGCGGCGUGCCUAAUACAUGCAAGUCGAGCGAACGGACGAGAAGCUUGCUUCUCUGAUGUUAGCGGCGGACGGGUGAGUAACACGUGGAUAACCUACCUAUAAGACUGGGAUAACUUCGGGAAACCGGAGCUAAUACCGGAUAAUAUUUUGAACCGCAUGGUUCAAAAGUGAAAGACGGUCUUGCUGUCACUUAUAGAUGGAUCCGCGCUGCAUUAGCUAGUUGGUAAGGUAACGGCUUACCAAGGCAACGAUGCAUAGCCGACCUGAGAGGGUGAUCGGCCACACUGGAACUGAGACACGGUCCAGACUCCUACGGGAGGCAGCAGUAGGGAAUCUUCCGCAAUGGGCGAAAGCCUGACGGAGCAACGCCGCGUGAGUGAUGAAGGUCUUCGGAUCGUAAAACUCUGUUAUUAGGGAAGAACAUAUGUGUAAGUAACUGUGCACAUCUUGACGGUACCUAAUCAGAAAGCCACGGCUAACUACGUGCCAGCAGCCGCGGUAAUACGUAGGUGGCAAGCGUUAUCCGGAAUUAUUGGGCGUAAAGCGCGCGUAGGCGGUUUUUUAAGUCUGAUGUGAAAGCCCACGGCUCAACCGUGGAGGGUCAUUGGAAACUGGAAAACUUGAGUGCAGAAGAGGAAAGUGGAAUUCCAUGUGUAGCGGUGAAAUGCGCAGAGAUAUGGAGGAACACCAGUGGCGAAGGCGACUUUCUGGUCUGUAACUGACGCUGAUGUGCGAAAGCGUGGGGAUCAAACAGGAUUAGAUACCCUGGUAGUCCACGCCGUAAACGAUGAGUGCUAAGUGUUAGGGGGUUUCCGCCCCUUAGUGCUGCAGCUAACGCAUUAAGCACUCCGCCUGGGGAGUACGACCGCAAGGUUGAAACUCAAAGGAAUUGACGGGGACCCGCACAAGCGGUGGAGCAUGUGGUUUAAUUCGAAGCAACGCGAAGAACCUUACCAAAUCUUGACAUCCUUUGACAACUCUAGAGAUAGAGCCUUCCCCUUCGGGGGACAAAGUGACAGGUGGUGCAUGGUUGUCGUCAGCUCGUGUCGUGAGGUGUUGGGUUAAGUCCCGCAACGAGCGCAACCCUUAAGCUUAGUUGCCAUCAUUAAGUUGGGCACUCUAAGUUGACUGCCGGUGACAAACCGGAGGAAGGUGGGGAUGACGUCAAAUCAUCAUGCCCCUUAUGAUUUGGGCUACACACGUGCUACAAUGGACAAUACAAAGGGCAGCGAAACCGCGAGGUCAAGCAAAUCCCAUAAAGUUGUUCUCAGUUCGGAUUGUAGUCUGCAACUCGACUACAUGAAGCUGGAAUCGCUAGUAAUCGUAGAUCAGCAUGCUACGGUGAAUACGUUCCCGGGUCU